GAUGAACGCUAGCGGCAGGCCUAAUACAUGCAAGUCGAACGAUGAUGCCCAGCUUGCUGGGUGGAUUAGUGGCGAACGGGUGAGUAACACGUGAGUAACCUGCCCCUGACUCUGGGAUAAGCGUUGGAAACGACGUCUAAUACUGGAUAUGACUGCCGGCCGCAUGGUCUGGUGGUGGAAAGAUUUUUUGGUUGGGGAUGGACUCGCGGCCUAUCAGCUUGUUGGUGAGGUAAUGGCUCACCAAGGCGACGACGGGUAGCCGGCCUGAGAGGGUGACCGGCCACACUGGGACUGAGACACGGCCCAGACUCCUACGGGAGGCAGCAGUGGGGAAUAUUGCACAAUGGGCGAAAGCCUGAUGCAGCAACGCCGCGUGAGGGAUGACGGCCUUCGGGUUGUAAACCUCUUUUAGUAGGGAAGAAGCGAAAGUGACGGUACCUGCAGAAAAAGCACCGGCUAACUACGUGCCAGCCGCCGCCGUAA
rnacentral:rRNA from 1 species